rnacentral:tRNA from 1 species
ACCUGGCUGGUUCAGUCCAUGGAACGUGUGACUCCUGAUCUCGGUGUCGUGAGUUCGAGUCCCAUGUUGGGUG